AGACUUUGCUGAGAGAUUGCUAAGUCUCCUCCCAAGUUUUCUGCCACAGGAGAUUAAAGAUGGCCCCAGCAGAAGGUACUCACUUCAGACCAUUCUCCUCCCGCAUGGCCUUGGUGCUGAAGUUGGUAUGGCAGCCUGCACCAUUCCAGUUCCCAGGAAUGGGCUUAGGGCAGGAAGGCUGUUACUGGGGACUCCAAGACCGGCAAACAGAUCUGGACAAAUCCAAUGGUAUUUUAUGCAACCAACAGAGAAGACCAUAGAAAGAUGGGCCAUAUUAUCUCUUCCUUAAAGCAGAAGUUCAGGGAAAAGAAUCACUCAGAUUCUUAAAAUAGUUAAGAUUCUUGAAAUUGCCUA
rnacentral:lncRNA from 1 species